UCCUGCUUCAAGUAAUGCCACUCAUUUGGGAG
rnacentral:piRNA from 1 species